UUAGUGUUCUGGAACUUAUGGGGCUAGGUCACAAAAAGCCUUGAGCCUUAAAGUUUCCACCCACACCUUUCGGAGACACUCCCUCUGGAAAGUCAGCUGCCAUGCUGUAACUCAAGCACAAUGGAGAGACAAUAUGUCAGUGCUCAAACCCAACAGCCACAGCAAAGUUCCCUGCCAAGAGCCAGCAUCAACAGUCGACCACCCCAGCCCAGACACAGGAGUAAAGAAGCCAUCCUAGAAGUGGAUCCUCCAGCCCCAGGCACUUCAACUGACAUCCUAUGGAUCAGAGACAAACCACACAGUGAACUGAACAAAAUAACCUAAACGAUGGAAGCCAUUGGUGAAACGAAUCCGGAUGGAGCUUAUCAAAUGUGAAUGGCCCAGAGUGUGGAAAACCAGUGCCCUCAGGGAAACCUGGAAGCAGAUGGGGCAGAUAAGUCAGCCCCAGAAGAUGGCAGAUGGAGUGAUGUUCUCUCUCCCUAGGCCAGUUUCCUCACAUUCAAGGCUCGACCUCCGCCCCCAAGCCCAAACAAAAUGAAAGAAAAGGUUCAAUGGCCCUGGUAUGAUGAAUCGCUUCUGGCAAAAUUUAAUUCUAAAGAAAUGGCAAAGAUAAUAACAUACUUUCACAGAAAAAGUCUGUCCUGAAGAAGGGCCUCUCCCCUUUGGACUCUCAAAACAAUUUUAGAACCAAGCAUUAGCUUUAAUCCAGCACUCUGGUAAGCACAAAGAAAAGAAAGGACAGCUGAACCAAAGAAUACAGUGAGAGUUAACACUAUGCCAGCAUCUGGGCCCAGGCCUUAAGAAACUGGCAGUUUUCACUUCCUGUCUCCUGAAACUCAACUACCAUACUGUGAGGAAACCCCAGCCACCUGCAGAAAGGCCUCUGUGGAGAGGAACCGACAAGCAGCACCAACUUGCCAGCAAUAUCCAGACUGGCACAAAAAGGAAUAAAAGGGCUCAACUACGAGGAGGCCUGAAAAAGGACAACUGCCCACAGCCCCAUCAAAGGGCUGAUUGAGAAUAAAAAGAAAUUGAAAGGGAAAA